rnacentral:rRNA from 1 species
AUACGGAGGGUGCAAACGUUAAUCGGAAUUACUGGGCGUAAAGCGCGCGUAGGCGGCUUUGUAAGUCGGAUGUGAAAGCCCUGGGCUCAACCUGGGAAUGGCAUUCGAUACUGCAGAGCUAGAGUAUGGUAGAGGGAAGUGGAAUUUCCGGUGUAGCGGUGAAAUGCGUAGAUAUCGGAAGGAACACCAGUGGCGAAGGCGACUUCCUGGGCCAAUACUGACGCUGAGGUGCGAAAGCGUGGGGAGCAAACAGGAUUAGAAACCCCAGUAGUCC